rnacentral:lncRNA from 1 species
CUAUAUGUGGGGUCGCUAGGUAUAUAGUGACAGUUAAAGAGUGUCGCUAUAACCUAAAAGAGUGCUGCUAAUUUACCAACACUUAUUUAAGCAUUUAGCAACCGCCGAAACUCUAUCUCGUUGGCUGCGGUGGCGGAGGAGGACGACAGGAAAGGCUUUUCGUCUAGAAUUUCAGUGGAUUGAGUGAAGAGAGAAGAAAAGAUGGUAAUUGAUUUUUCUUUUUUUUUUUUCUUUUCUGUUUGUAAUCGGGUCAAAUGGACUGGGUGUGGUGGGUUGAGUAGAGUAAUCUUUUAUUUUUGGUUGGAUUGGGCUUUAUAUUUAGGUAUAAGUAGAUGUUUUUUUAACUUUUAGCAUAAAUGGGACACUUACUCAAAAGUGUCCCAAACAUGUGUCCCUAUAACCUAAUUCUGUUGUAGUGUGUUGAUCAUUUUAAGAAAAAUAUU